rnacentral:rRNA from 1 species
GAUGAACGCUGGCGGCGUGCCUAACACAUGCAAGUCGAACGAAGCAAUUAAGAUGAAGUUUUUGGAUGGAAUCUUGAUUGACUGAGUGGCGGACGGGUGAGUAACGCGUGGAUAACCUGCCUCACACUGGGGGAUAACAGUUAGAAAUGACUGCUAAUACCGCAUAAGCGCACAGUGCCGCAUGGCAGUGUGUGAAAAACUCCGGUGGUGUGAGAUGGAUCCGCGUCUGAUUAGCCAGUUGGCGGGGUAACGGCCCACCAAAGCGACGAUCAGUAGCCGACCUGAGAGGGUGACCGGCCACAUUGGGACUGAGACACGGCCCAAACUCCUACGGGAGGCAGCAGUGGGGAAUAUUGCACAAUGGGCGAAAGCCUGAUGCAGCGACGCCGCGUGAGUGAAGAAGUAUUUCGGUAUGUAAAGCUCUAUCAGCAGGGAAGAAAAUGACGGUACCUGACUAAGAAGCCCCGGCUAACUACGUG